GAUGAACGCUGGCGGCGUGCUUAACACAUGCAAGUCGAACGGUGAAGGCGGAGCUUGCUCUGCUGGAUGAGUGGCGAACGGGUGAGUGAAACGUGAGCAAUCCGCCCCUGACUCAGGGAUAAGAGCUGGAAACGGCGUCUAAUACUGGAUACGAGCUGCGGAGGCAUCUUCAGCAGCUGGGAAGAAUUUCGGUCAGGGCUGGGCUCGCGGCUUAUCAGCUUGUUGGUGAGGUAAUGGAGCACCAAGGCGACGACGGGUAGCCGGCCUGGGAGGGUGGCCGGCCACACUGCGACUGAGACAGGGCGCAGACGGCUACGUGAGGCAGCAGUGGAGAAUAUUGCGGAGUGGGCGCAAGCGUGAUGCAGCGACGCUGCGUUCGUGACGACGGCCUUCUGGUUGUAAACCUCUUUGAGCAGAGAAGAACCGAAAGUGACGGUACCUGCAGAAAAAGCGCCGGCUAACUACGUG
rnacentral:rRNA from 1 species